CCUACGGGGGGCUGCAGUGGGGAAUUUUGCGCAAUGCUCGUAAGAGUGACGCAGCGACGCCGCGUGAAUGACGAAGGCCUUCGGGUCGUAAAGUUCUUUCGACAGGGAAGAAAAUGCCUAUAAGUAACUGUGUAUGUAUUGACGGUACCUGUAUAAGCAGCCCCGUCUAACUCCGUGCCAGCAGCCGCGGUAAUACGGAGGGGGCGAGCGUUGUUCGGAGGGACUGGGCGUAAAGAGCACGUAGGCGGUGUUGUAAGUCAUUAGUCAAAGACUAGAGCUCAACUUUAGUAAGGCUAGUGAUACUAUAAUACUAGAGUAUCAGAGAGGAUUGCAGAAUUCCUGGUGUAGCGGUGAAAUGCGUAGAUAUCAGGAGGAAUACCGUUAGCGAAGGCGGCAAUCUGGCUGGAAACUGACGCUGAGGUGCGAAAGCGUGGGUAGCAAACAGGAUUAGAUACCCCUGUAGUC
rnacentral:rRNA from 1 species